rnacentral:rRNA from 1 species
GCCUUACACAUGCAAGUCGAACGGUAACAGGAAGCAGCUUGCUGCUUCGCUGACGAGUGGCGGACGGGUGAGUAAUGUCUGGGAAACUGCCUGAUGGAGGGGGAUAACUACUGGAAACGGUAGCUAAUACCGCAUAACGUCGCAAGACCAAAGAGGGGGACCUUCGGGCCUCUUGCCAUCGGAUGUGCCCAGAUGGGAUUAGCUAGUAGGUGGGGUAACGGCUCACCUAGGCGACGAUCCCUAGCUGGUCUGAGAGGAUGACCAGCCACACUGGAACUGAGACACGGUCCAGACUCCUACGGGAGGCAGCAGUGGGGAAUAUUGCACAAUGGGCGCAAGCCUGAUGCAGCCAUGCCGCGUGUAUGAAGAAGGCCUUCGGGUUGUAAAGUACUUUCAGCGGGGAGGAAGGCGAUAAGGUUAAUAACCUUGUCGAUUGACGUUACCCGCAGAAGAAGCACCGGCUAACUCCGUGCCAGCAGCCGCGGUAAUACGGAGGGUGCAAGCGUUAAUCGGAAUUACUGGGCGUAAAGCGCACGCAGGCGGUCUGUCAAGUCGGAUGUGAAAUCCCCGGGCUCAACCUGGGAACUGCAUUCGAAACUGGCAGGCUAGAGUCUUGUAGAGGGGGGUAGAAUUCCAGGUGUAGCGGUGAAAUGCGUAGAGAUCUGGAGGAAUACCGGUGGCGAAGGCGGCCCCCUGGACAAAGACUGACGCUCAAG